rnacentral:rRNA from 1 species
GACGGAAGGUGCAAGCGUUGCUCGGAAUCACUGGGCGUAAAGGGUGCGUAGGCGGCUUGGUAGGUCUGGUGUGAAAGCCCCGGGCUCAGCCCGGGAAGGGCACUAGAAACUGCCAAGCUAGAGUGCCGGAGGGGAGAGUGGAAUUCCCGGUGUAGUGGUGAAAUGCGUAGAUAUCAGGAGGAACACCGGUGGCGAAGGCGCACAUCUGGCCCGAUACUGACGCUGAGGCGCGAAAGCUAGGGGAGCAAACGGG